rnacentral:misc_RNA from 1 species
AAAGUCGUAACAAGGUUUCCGUAGGUGAACCUGCGGAAGGAUCAUUACCGAGUUCUCGGGCUUCGGCCCGAAUCUCCAACCCUUUGUCUACCUCACCUCUGUUGCUUCGGCGGCGUCGCGGGCGGCUCACGCCCCCGCGCCCGCCGGAGGACCAUCAAACUCCAGUCAGUAAACGUCUCAGUCUGAAAACAAGUUAAAUAAACUAAAACUUUCAACAACGGAUCUCUUGGUUCUG